rnacentral:ncRNA from 1 species
CAUAUAGGUUUGGUCCUGACCUUAAGAUCAGUUCUUACUUGACUUACACAUGCAAGUCUCCGCACACCCGUGAAAAUGCCCUUUCCCCCACUUAGGAAUAAGGAGCUGGUAUCAGGCACAAUAAUUUGCCCAAGACACCUAGCCACGCCACACCCAUAAGGGUUCUCAGCAGUGAUUAACAUUAAAAAUAAACGUCAGUUUAAUUUAGUCAAUGGAAACAGAGCCGGCCAAUACUAGUGCCAGCCGCCGCGGUUACACCACAAGGCUCAAAUUGAUCUCAUUCGGCGUAAAGCGUGAUUAAAGAAACAAUAUAUUAGGGCUAAACUUAAACUAAACUGUAAAAUACAUGUUAUUAAGAAAGUCACACCCGAAAGAUACCCUAACACACCAACUUGAAUUCACGAUAACUAGGACACAAACUGGGAUUAGAUACCCCACUAUGCCUAGUCGUAAACUUUAACUUACACUCAAUCGCCAGGAAACUACGAGCAAAGCUUAAAACCCAAAGGACUUGACGGUGCCCCAUAUCCCCCUAGAGGAGCCUGUCCUAUAAUCGAUAACCCUCGUUUAACCUCACCAUUUCUAGUUCCUCAGCUUGUAUACUUCCGUCGUCAGCUCCCCGCAUGAGCGAAACCAAGUGAGCUCAAUGUUUACUAACCAAAACGCCAGGUCAAAGUGCAGCAAAUGAAAUGGGCAAAGAUGGGCUACACUCUCUAAUUUAGAAAACACGGAAAGCUACGUGAAAUCGUAACUUAAAGGCGGAUUUAGUAGUAAGAGGAGAAUAGAGUGCUCCCCUUAACUCGGCACUGGGGUGUGUACACACCGCCCGUCACCCUCUUCGACAUAAUGAUUUAGUAUAUAACAACCAAUUCCCCCCAAGAAGAGGAAAGUCGUAACAUGGUAAGCAUACCGGAAGGUGUGCUUGGACA